UCAUGCACGAGCGCUUUUGAGCUGCUAGACCUAAAAUAGCUUCACCAAGGGAAUGUUCGAUGCAAAGCACUUGAGAUUGAGUCUCUGGUUUUCGUGUCCAUAGCAUUUGUGAGUUCUAAUUCAAGUAGAGAAGCAUGUCGGCCAACAGAGAGGCUCCAAGGGGAAACUACAAGCAUCAUGUCUUAGAAGAACCAUGACUUGAGUGACAGUCAGAGCUGAGAUGAUGCACCAGAUGCAGUGGCACUGUCUCCAUCACUGAUGAAAUGGUAU